GUGGGGAAUAUUGCACAAUGGGCGAAAGCCUGAUGCAGCGACGCCGCGUGCGGGAUGAAGGCCUUCGGGUUGUAAACCGCUUUUGAUUGGGAGCAAGCGAGAGUGAGUGUACCUUUCGAAUAAGCACCGGCUAACUACGUGCCAGCAGCCGCGGUAAUACGUAGGGUGCAAGCGUUAUCCGGAAUUAUUGGGCGUAAAGAGCUCGUAGGCGGCUUGUCGCGUCUGGUGUGAAAGUCCAUCGCUUAACGGUGGAUCUGCGCCGGGUACGGGCAGGCUAGAGUGCGGUAGGGGAGAUUGGAAUUCCCGGUGUAACGGUGGAAUGUGUAGAUAUCGGGAAGAACACCAAUGGCGAAGGCAGAUCUCUGGGCCGUUACUGACGCUGAGGAGCGAAAGCAUGGGGAGCGAACAGGAUUAGAUACCCCUGUAGUCC
rnacentral:rRNA from 1 species